ensembl:lncRNA
GGAUGAGAGAAAGAGUGAAAGGAAAGAGAGCAGAAAGGUGUUGGUGCGUAGUUGGACAGUUCCAAACGUUCGAGAGAAGACGUGGACGAAAAGCGAGUCGGUAGCUGUCGACCUUCUGUUCUCUAAAAGCACACUGUUCGCUCUGUUAAAUGUUAAAGUUAUUAUCCUCACUAUCCAUCUGGAAUAAUAUGAAGACAAACAUGCAGCGCUUGGAUGUAUUACUCACAAACACAAAAAAAUCAUUGUUAUUCAUGUACAGAUCAACACUUCAUGUGUUAUUUCAGAAUUCGAGCAUUUCAGUCCUCUGGUUAUGAAACAAACUCCCCAGAGCGCCUUGGUAGCCAAGUGGUGACGUCGGGCGGUCGGUCGCCACGGUUACAAUAACCACCAUUUGGUUAUGGGGAGGGUAACGAUGAUGGUAAAAAUAACAACGCCGCCUGCUUUGUCCUCGGCCCGUCUACUGACUGCGUCACCUGACAUCCUGCUUUGCUGCAGCCGUUACUACAACAGCAGCUCGGGGGGCUUCGGGGGCUUCGACGCGUCAGUGUCACAUCUGUCGCUUCGGGGCACGGGUCCAAAUUACAGACGUCCCGCACGAAAACAUGUUGGAAGACUAUUUAUGUCACGGCUUUGGAUCCAUUUUAACGUGAAUAACGUAUGUAUAACAAUGGCACAUUCAUUCAUUCGCUUGGAUUACUUGGAGAUAAUGUGGUAAAUAUUCAUAUUUUGGUGUCAAAAGGUGGUUAUUUGACUUCACAGCCCAACUUUUCUCAUUACUAAAUAUUAGAUUCCUUGUGGUAAAUGUUAUAGU